GAUGAACGCUGGCGGCGUGCCUAAUACAUGCAAGUCGAACGCGCAGCGAGAGGUGCUUGCACCUUUCAAGCGAGUGGCGAACGGGUGAGUAACACGUGGAUAACCUGCCUCAAGGCUGGGGAUAACAUUUGGAAACAGAUGCUAAUACCGAAUAAAACUUAGUAUCGCAUGAUAUAAAGUUAAAAGGCGCUACGGCGUCACCUAGAGAUGGAUCCGCGGUGCAUUAGUUAGUUGGUGGGGUAAAGGCUUACCAAGACAAUGAUGCAUAGCCGAGUUGAGAGACUGAUCGGCCACAUUGGGACUGAGACACGGCCCAAACUCCUACGGGAGGCUGCAGUAGGGAAUCUUCCACAAUGGGCGCAAGCCUGAUGGAGCAACGCCGCGUGUGUGAUGAAGGCUUUCGGGUCGUAAAGCACUGUUGUAUGGGAAGAAAUGCUAAAAUAGGGAAUGAUUUUAGUUUGACGGUACCAUACCAGAAAGGGACGGCUAAAUACGUGCCAGCAGCCGCGGUAACAC
rnacentral:rRNA from 1 species